rnacentral:rRNA from 1 species
CUACGGGGGGCUGCAGUGGGGAAUAUUGCACAAUGGGCGCAAGCCUGAUGCAGCCAUGCCGCGUGUAUGAAGAAGGCCUUCGGGUUGUAAAGUACUUUCAGCGGGGAGGAAGGGAGUAAAGUUAAUACCUUUGCUCAUUGACGUUACCCGCAGAAGAAGCACCGGCUAACUCCGUGCCAGCAGCCGCGGUAAUACGGAGGGUGCAAGCGUUAAUCGGAAUUACUGGGCGUAAAGCGCACGCAGGUGGUUUGUUAAGUCAGAUGUGAAAUCCCCGGGCUCAACCUGGGAACUGCAUCUGAUACUGGCAAGCGUGAGUCUCGUAGAGGGGGGUAGAAUUCCAGGUGUAGCGGUGAGAUGCGUAGAGAUCUGGAGGAAUACCGGUGGCGAAGGCGGCCCCCUGGACGAAGACUGACGCUCAGGUGCGAAAGCGUGGGGAGCAAACAGGAUUAGAUACCCCUGUAGUC